GGGGCAAGAGCUGCUUUCUAACUAGACAUCAUCAAUUUGAGACCAGCACGAUUUUAAGAAGCCAAGUUCAGGCGAUCUGAGCCGCCCCUGGAUUCGGGGCUGGGGCUCUGUCUGGAGGCUCUCAACUCAAGUUCCUUCCUAGCUCAAUCCAAAAUCCUGGGUAAAUUCCUCAAACGCCCUACGCUUGAGAAAAGGAAUUGGGAUGUUGACUGUUUAUAUGCCAAGGGGAUGAGAGACAGGACGGACAAGCCUCCGAGUAAAGGUGGAGAUUGGAAGCUUUCCCCCCUCACUCCUCUUUAGUGAAUCCUUGUUUCCCCUGGCCUUCUUCUGGAUUAUGGGUGUAUGUAAUCUCUUCAUGCUUCUUUAUUAAUUUAUUCAGGGAAAUAAAGUGAGAUACUUCUGUUUCCCAUGCUCCUUGAAGCAGGUGCCCAAACCUAGACUUACUCCUUCAAGUGACAGCUAAACUGUAAAAAUCAGAGUAUAUUAUUACCACGUUUCUAAGAUGUAGAGAGGACUUCUCUUGCCUUUUAAGUUCCAACCCCUCCCCCAGUCUUCAGUUUUUCUUUGUGCAUGAUGGGGAUGUUCUUUCAUUCCCAACAGAGUUCAGGGGAUUUGAGCUAUUCAGGAGAUAAUGUGGGGGCAAAAGUCAAAGAGGGGUGGACAGGGAAUUGAGGUGGACUCUUGCCUGAUCCCCCACUGUGGUAGGAUGAAUGUGGGGGUGGCACACAGCGAAGUAAACCCCAACACACGAGUGAUGAAUAGCCGGGGCAUCUGGCUGGCAUACAUCAUCUUGGUAGGCCUGCUGCAUGUGGUGCUACUCAGCAUCCCCUUCUUCAGCAUUCCUGUUGUCUGGACUUUGACCAACGUCAUCCAUAACUUGGCUAUGUAUGUCUUCCUACAUACAGUGAAAGGGACACCCUUUGAGACCCCUGACCAAGGAAAGGCUCGGCUACUGACACACUGGGAACAGAUGGACUACGGGCUCCAAUUUACCUCUUCCCGAAAAUUCCUCAGCAUCUCUCCUAUUGUACUCUACCUCCUAGCCAGCUUCUACACCAAGUAUGAUGCUGCUCACUUCCUCAUCAACACAACCUCAUUGCUCAGCGUACUGCUGCCUAAAUUGCCCCAAUUCCAUGGGGUUCGUCUCUUUGGCAUCAAUAAAUACUGAGGGAUGGGACUAGGAACAGAAUUGGAACAAAAGGCUGUAACAUCUUUCCCUUCUCCAUACUGUCGUUAUCUUGAAAGCCUGAGAACUACACAACUGUUUCCAAACUUCCAAGAUGAGAACAGAUUGGAAAAUGGGGCUCCCUGGGCCUAGCCCUGCUAGGAGCAGGCUUCUUUGAAUCAGGAAAGGCAAAUGAGCCCUUUUGACUCCCUGACAUUGAUUUGAGGAAAGAAGAAAACAAGUGUCAACGUUGGAAGGGCCUCCUCACUUUCUUCCGCCUCUUCGGUUUGGCUUCUCCCUUGGGUACUGUGCUGUUGGGCUUGGAAGCUGCAGUGGCCCCAGGGCCAGGAUGAGGAGCUGCAAAGAAGUUCCCAUUGGACAUCUGUCCGGGGGGUACUUGAAAGAUCCGGCUCAAGAAAUCCUGAAGGAUUGCUGACAAUGUCCCAAGCUGCCCGCAAAACCUUGAAGGCCUCCUCAGCCCGGGGAUGAUGAUUUUUGUCAGGAUGAACCUACCAAGACAAAGAUUUCAUCACAUCCAUUCCAACCCUCUCCCCAUCUUGGGUCAAAACCUCAUGUUAAGUGGUAGCCCUGGCCAGUGUGGCUCAGUUGGUUGGGCGUCUUCACAUGCACCAAAAGGUUGCUGGUUU